rnacentral:rRNA from 1 species
UACAGAGGGUGCGAGCGUUAAUCGGAAUUACUGGGCGUAAAGCGCGUGUAGGCGGCCAGAUAGGUCUGCUGUGAAAACUCGAGGCUCAACCUCGAGCUGUCGGCGGAAACCAUCUGGCUAGAGUCCGGAAGAGGAGAGUGGAAUUCCUGGUGUAGCGGUGAAAUGCGCAGAUAUCAGGAAGAACACCUAUGGCGAAGGCAGCUCUCUGGGACGGUACUGACGCUGAGACGCGAAAGCGUGGGGAGCGAACAGG